UACAGAGGUCUCAAGCGUUGUUCGGAUUCAUUGGGCGUAAAGGGUGUGUAGGUGGCGCCGUAAGUCGGGUGUGAAAUUUCGGAGCUUAACUCCGAAACUGCAUUCGAUACUGCGGUGCUUGAGGACUGGAGAGGAGGCUGGAAUUCAUGGUGUAGCAGUGAAAUGCGUAGAGAUCAUGAGGAAGACCAGUGGCGAAGGCGGGUCUCUGGACAGUUCCUGACACUGAGACACGAAAGCCAGGGGAGCGAACGGG
rnacentral:rRNA from 1 species